UGAUUGUUUCCGCACCUGAAAGAUGAAUUGAACUUAUAUAUAUAUAUUCAAUCAGGUUUUCCAAAUCGUUCGAGUAAUGUCUUUUAAAAGUAAUCAAUUCGCUUUCAUGAACAAGGUUUUAAAAAUAAUUUUUGGAUUUUGAAAAUCGGGUCCUUUUAGACGCUAUCCGUGGAAUAAGCAUCGACUAACUCUAUGCCAGCAGCCGCGGUAAGACAAAUGAUGCAAAGGUUAUCCGAAAUGAUUCGGUGUAAAGCAUCAGUAGGUGGAUUUUUAAGUUCGCCAUCAAAUCCCAGGGCUCAACCCUGGACAGGCGGUGGAAACUACCAAGUUGGAGUAGGGUAGGGGCAGAGGGAGUUUCCGGUGGAGCGGUGAAAUGCGUAGAGAUCAGAAAGAACACCAACGGCGAAAGCACUCUGUUGGGCUGACAGAAGAAAGCUAAGGGAGAGAAUGGGAUUAGAUACCCCAGUAGUUCUAGGUGUAAACGAUGGAUACUAGGAAUUCAUAGUAUCGACCUGUGGAAUGUUGUAGCUAAUGCGUUAAGUAUCCCGCUUGGGGAGUACAUUCGUC